UACGUAGGGGGCAAGCGUUGUCCGGAAUCAUUGGGCGUAAGAGCGCGUAGGCGGCCCUGUAAGUCCGCUGUGAAAGUCAAGGGCUCAACCCUUGGAUGCCGGUGGAUACUGCAGGGCUAGAGUCCGGAAGAGGCGAGUGGAAUUCCUGGUGUAGCGGUGAAAUGCGCAGAUAUCAGGAGGAACACCGAUGGCGAAGGCAGCUCGCUGGGACGGUGACUGACGCUGGGGCGCGAAAGCG
rnacentral:rRNA from 1 species